rnacentral:rRNA from 1 species
GUGGGGAAUAUUGCACAAUGGGGGAAACCCUGAUGCAGCAACGCCGCGUGAAGGAAGAAGUAUUUCGGUAUGUAAACUUCUAUCGACAGGGAAGAAACAAAUGACGGUACCUGAAUAAGAAGCACCGGCUAAAUACGUGCCAGCAGCCGCGGUAAUACGUAUGGUGCAAGCGUUAUCCGGAUUUACUGGGUGUAAAGGGUGAGUAGGCGGUCAUGCAAGUCAUAUGUGAAAUGUCAGGGCUUAACCUUGGCGCUGCAUAAGAAACUGUAUGACUAGAGUGCAGGAGAGGUAAGCGGAAUUCCUAGUGUAGCGGUGAAAUGCGUAGAUAUUAGGAAGAACACCGGUGGCGAAGGCGGCUUACUGGACUGUUACUGACGCUGAGUCACGAAAGCGUGGGGAGCAAACAGGA